UUUUUUUUUUUUGGGGGGGGGGGGGGGGGGUCAAUGAGGAAUUACACAGAGAUCAAAAUUUUAAAAUGCUCCAAUCAUGUUGAAAACUAUACCACAUUAUUUGUCCGAUCAUAAUGAUUCCAAAAAGGUAUAGUUUGGACUAUCUAUGAUUGAAUAUUGUGGAGU